ACAAAUAGGGUUUUUGGAUGUCUCUGUGGUUGAGAGUGAUGGUUAUUUAAACCUCUUCUAGAGUAUCAAGUGGAGGGCUGUCUGGUGCCACCCUCCGCGUUAAUUCCUGCUCCAAUAGAUAUAUUAAAAUUGUUGCAAUUAAAAACCUCGUACUUGAAUUUCUGCUGCAUUGCAUCUUCGUUUUGAUGAGAUGGUGUAUUGUGGCUUAAUUGUGAUGAUUUAUGUAUUAUCCGGAUGAGUACUUUUAAAAGAUUGUGUGCUCAAUGCAGGCUUUUGCCUUGAAUAAUUUUGCAUGAAGUAAUAAAUUACGACUUUGGUUCUAUUUUGUUGGUUUUAUGUACCAGAGUAAUGGUGAAAAUACCGAAGUGGGAGCA
rnacentral:rRNA from 1 species